rnacentral:rRNA from 1 species
GGACCAAGGAGUCUAGCAUGUGCGCGAGUCAUUGGGAUUGAAUAAACCUAAAGGCGCAAUGAAAGUGAAGGUCAGCCUCGCGCGGACCGAGGGAGGAUGGGCCGCAUCACGGUGCGGCCUCGCACUCCCGGGGCGUCUCGUUCUCAUCGCGAGAAGAGGCGCACCCAGAGCGUACACGCUGGGACCCGAAAGAUGGUGAACUAUGCCUGGUCAGGACGAAGUCAGGGGAAACCCUGAUGGAGGUCCGUAGCGAUUCUGACGUGCAAAUCGAUCGUCGGAACUGGGUAUAGGGGCGAAAGACUAAUCGAACCAUCUAGUAGCUGGUUCCCUCCGAAGUUUCCCUCAGGAUAGCUGGCGCUCGCGUAGCGAGUCUCAUCCGGUAAAGCGAAUGAUUAGAGGCAUUGGGGUCGAAACGGCCUCAACCUAUUCUCAAACUUUAAAUGGGUGAGAUCUCCGGCUUGCUCGAACGUGAAGCCGUGAGAUUUUCUCAAAGGAUCAGAGUGCCAAGUGGGCCACUUUUGGUAAGCAGAACUGGCGCUGUGGGAUGAACCAAACGCAGAGUUAAAGCGCCAAAAUUGACGCUUAUGGGAUACCAUGAAAGGCGUU